AUAUCACGUAAAAACCUUGUGUAUGCGAUAGAGGCUGUAUUUUUCAAUUGAUCUUCAUGAAUUUUGGUCAGAAUGAUUGCCUUGAUGAAAUUUAGACCAAGUUCGAAAAUGGGUCAUCUGGGGUCAAAAACUAGGUCAAAUCGAAGAAAAACAUUGUGUAUGCAAUAGAGGAUGUAUUUUUCAAUUGAUCUUCAUGAAAUUUGGUCAGAGUGAUUGCCUUGAUGAAAACUAGGUCGGUUUUGAAUAUGGGUUAUCUGAGGUCAAAAACUAGGUCACUAGGUCAAAUUAAAGAAAAAUCUUGUGUAUACGAUAGAGACUGUUUUUUUCAGUUGAUAUUUAUGAAAUUUGGUCAGGUUGAUUGCCUUAAUGAAAUCUAGGUCGAAUUUGAAUAUGGAUCAUCUGAGGUCAAAAACUAGGUCACUUGGUCAAAUCAAAGAAAAAACUUCUGUAUGUGAUAGAGGCUGUAUUUUUCAGUUGAUCUUCAUGAAUUUUGGUCAGAAUGAUUGCCUUGAUAAAAUCUAGGUCGAGUUUGAACAUGGGUCAUCUAGGGUCAAAAACUAGGUCAUAUCUAAGAAAAUGCUUGUUUUAUCGCAAGAGACCAAUUUUUUGGUCCAAUCUUAAUGAAAAUUGGUCAGAAUAUUUGUUUCCAUGAAAUCACUAGGUCAAACAUGUUUUACACUGUUAUGGAGUGUUUCUUAGGUGAGCGACCUAGGGCCAUCUUGGCCCUCUUGUUUUAUGUAAAUGAAUAUACCUCAGCAGCAUCUAAUGAGAUUGGUUUUAAAUGUUAUUUAAGUCUUCCAGGGUAAGAAAUAGUCAUGCUAGUACAAAAAUGCAGCAUCUGAGUCUAUGACCCUCAAAUGUGGUAUGGAGAUUGGCCCUGACUAAAAUGUGACCCAUAGGUCAGAAGGGACUGUUACAGAAAAUAUUUAUCCUGAUGAUAUUUAAAGUGUAUGCCUGUGUGAUCUAUGUCAAAACUUGAUCUUAUCAUUAAGAGCAAUGGUACUCAGGUGAGCGAUAUAGGGCCAUCAUGGCCCUCUUGUUUUUAAACUAUUAUCAAAAUGAUAAUGAACGUCAGACUGCUAAUUUUCACAAAUCCAGAUAGAACAGAUGGAUGUACAUGGAUCUGCUAUGUAUAACAUGUUAUUAGAACAGUGCCAUGUCAUGUUUGUGUCUAAGAUAUUCUGGAAUGAAUUUGCAUAAUGUACAGUGAUAUUACUGGUAAGCACAAUAAAGUGUUUUCAAAAACUGAUAA